GACAGAGGCCUCAAGCGUUAGGCGGAAUCACUGGGCUUAAAGCGUGUGUAGGCGGAUCGUUAAGUGUCUUGUGAAAUCCCACGGCUCACCCGUGGAACUGCUGGGCAUACUGGCGAUCUUGGCCAACUAGGGGCAACGGAACAAAGCGGUGGAGCGGUGAAAUGCGUAGAUAUCGUUUGGAACGCCAAUGGUGAAAACAGGUUGCUGGGAGUGUGCUGACGCUGAGACACGAAAGCCAGGGGAGCGAACGGG
rnacentral:rRNA from 1 species